UACGAAGGGGGCUAGCGUUGCUCGGAAUCACUGGGCGUAAAGGGUGCGUAGGCGGGUCUUUUAAGUCAGGGGUGAAAUCCUGGAGCUCAACUCCAGAACUGCCUUUGAUACUGAAGAUCUUGAGUUCGGGAGAGGUGAGUGGAACUGCGAGUGUAGAGGUGAAAUUCGUAGAUAUUCGCAAGAACACCAGUGGCGAAGGCGGCUCACUGGCCCGGAUACUGACGCUGAGGCACGAAAGCGUGGGGAGCAAACAGG
rnacentral:rRNA from 1 species